UACGUAGGGUGCAAGCGUUGUCCGGAAUCACUGGGCGUAAAGGGUGCGUAGGCGGGUUUUAAGUCAGAGGUGAAAUCCUGGAGCUCAACUCCAGAACUGCCUUUGAUACUGAAAGUCUUGAGUAUGGGAGAGGUGAGUGGAACUGCGAGUGUAGAGGUGAAAUUCGUAGAUAUUCGCAAGAACACCAGUGGCGAAGGCGGCUCACUGGCCCAUUACUGACGCUGAGGCACGAAAGCGUGGGGAGCAACAGG
rnacentral:rRNA from 1 species